rnacentral:rRNA from 1 species
GAAACCGAGUCUUAAUUGGGCGUUAAGUUGCAGGGUAUAGACCCGAAACCCGGUGAUCUAGCCAUGGGCAGGUUGAAGGUUGGGUAACACUAACUGGAGGACCGAACCGACUAAUGUUGAAAAAUUAGCGGAUGACCUGUGGCUGGGGGUGAAAGGCCAAUCAAACCGGGAGAUAGCUGGUUCUCCCCGAAAGCUAUUUAGGUAGCGCCUCGUGAAUUCAUCUCCGGGGGUAGAGCACUGUUUCGGCUAGGGGGCCAUCCCGGCUUACCAACCCGAUGCAAACUGCGAAUACCGGAGAAUGUUAUCACGGGAGACACACGGCGGGUGCUAACGUCCGUCGUGAAGAGGGAAACAACCCAGACCGCCAGCUAAGGUCCCAAAGUCAUGGUUAAGUGGGAAACGAUGUGGGAAGGCCCAGACAGCCAGGAUGUUGGCUUAGAAGCAGCCAUCAUUUAAAGAAAGCGUAAUAGCUCACUGGUCGAGUCGGCCUGCGCGGAAGAUGUAACGGGGCUAAACCAUGCACCGAAGCUGCGGCAGCGACGCUGAUGCGUUGUUGGGUAGGGGAGCGUUCUGUAAGCCUGCGAAGGUGGCCUGUGAGGGUUGCUGGAGGUAUCAGAAGUGCGAAUGCUGACAUAAGUAACGAUAAAGCGGGUGAAAAGCCCGCUCGCCGGAAGACCAAGGGUUCCUGUCCAACGUUAAUCGGGGCAGGGUGAGUCGACCCCUAAGGCGAGGCCGAAAGGCGUAGUCGAUGGGAAACGGGUUAAUAUUCCCGUACUUGGUGUUACUGCGAAGGGGGGACGGAGAAGGCUAUGUUGGCCGGGCGACGGUUGUCCCGGUUUAAGCGUGUAGGUGUGUGUUCCAGGUAAAUCCGGUUCACUUUAACACUGAGGCGUGAUGACGAGGCACUACGGUGCUGAAGCAACAAAUGCCCUGCUUCCAGGAAAAGCCUCUAAGCAUCAGGUAACAUCAAAUCGUACCCCAAACCGACACAGGUGGUCAGGUAGAGAAUACCAAGGCGCUUGAGAGAACUCGGGUGAAGGAACUAGGCAAAAUGGUGCCGUAACUUCGGGAGAAGGCACGCUGACACGUAGGUGAAGUGAUUUACUCAUGGAGCUGAAGUCAGUCGAAGAUACCAGCUGGCUGCAACUGUUUAUUAAAAACACAGCACUGUGCAAACACGAAAGUGGACGUAUACGGUGUGACGCCUGCCCGGUGCCGGAAGGUUAAUUGAUGGGGUCAGCGCAAGCGAAGCUCCUGAUCGAAGCCCCGGUAAACGGCGGCCGUAACUAUAACGGUCCUAAGGUAGCGAAAUUCCUUGUCGGGUAAGUUCCGACCUGCACGAAUGGCGUAAUGAUGGCCAGGCUGUCUCCACCCGAGACUCAGUGAAAUUGAACUCGCUGUGAAGAUGCAGUGUACCCGCGGCAAGACGGAAAGACCCCGUGAACCUUUACUAUAGCUUGACACUGAACAUUGAGCCUUGAUGUGUAGGAUAGGUGGGAGGCUUUGAAGUGUGGACGCCAGUCUGCAUGGAGCCGACCUUGAAAUACCACCCUUUAAUGUUUGAUGUUCUAACGUGGACCCGUGAUCCGGGUUGCGGACAGUGUCUGGUGGGUAGUUUGACUGGGGCGGUCUCCUCCUAAAGAGUAACGGAGGAGCACGAAGGUUGGCUAAUCCUGGUCGGACAUCAGGAGGUUAGUGCAAUGGCAUAAGCCAGCUUGACUGCGAGCGUGACGGCGCGAGCAGGUGCGAAAGCAGGUCAUAGUGAUCCGGUGGUUCUGAAUGGAAGGGCCAUCGCUCAACGGAUAAAAGGUACUCCGGGGAUAACAGGCUGAUACCGCCCAAGAGUUCAUAUCGACGGCGGUGUUUGGCACCUCGAUGUCGGCUCAUCACAUCCUGGGGCUGAAGUAGGUCCCAAGGGUAUGGCUGUUCGCCAUUUAAAGUGGUACGCGAGCUGGGUUUAGAACGUCGUGAGACAGUUCGGUCCCUAUCUGCCGUGGGCGCUGGAGAACUGAGGGGGGCUGCUCCUAGUACGAGAGGACCGGAGUGGACGCAUCACUGGUGUUCGGGUUGUCAUGCCAAUGGCACUGCCCGGUAGCUAAAUGCGGAAGAGAUAAGUGCUGAAAGCAUCUAAGCACGAAACUUGCCCCGA